UACGUAGGGGGCAAGCGUUGUCCGGAAUCAUUGGGCGUAAAGCGCGUGUAGGCGGCCCGGUAAGUCCGCUGUGAAAGUCGGGGGCUCAACCCUCGAAUGCCGGUGGAUACUGUCGGGCUAGAGUGCGGGAGAGGCGAGUGGAAUUCCUGGUGUAGCGGUGAAAUGCGCAGAUAUCAGGAGGAACACCAAUUGCGAAGGCAGCCCGCUGGAACGUAACUGACGCUGAGACGCGAAAGCGUGGGGAGCAAACAGG
rnacentral:rRNA from 1 species